rnacentral:rRNA from 1 species
UUCGCAAUGCCCGAAAGGGUGACGAAGCGACGCCGCGUGUGGGAAGAAGGCCUUCGGGUUGUAAACCACUGUCGGGAGUUAAGAAAUGCAAGGAUAUUAAUAGUGUCUUUGUUUGACUAAGGCUCCGGAGGAAGCCACGGCUAACUCUGUGCCAGCAGCCGCGGUAAUACAGAGGCGGCAAGCGUUGUUCGGAAUUAUUGGGCGUAAAGAGCACGUAGGCGGCUAUGUAAGUCGGUUGUGAAAGCCUUCCGCUCAGCGGAAGAACAGCAUCCGAUACUACAUGGCUUGAGUGUGGGAGGGGAGAGUGGAACUUCUGGUGGAGCGGUGAAAUGCGUAGAUAUCAGAAGGAACGCCGGCGGCGAAAGCGGCUCUCUGGCCCAUAACUGACGCUGAGUGUGCGAAAGCUAGGGGAGCAAACGGGAUUAGAUACCCCGGUAGUCCUAGCCGUAAACGAUGGGCACUAAGUAGAGGGGUUUU